rnacentral:siRNA from 1 species
UAUCUCGGCUCUCGCAUCGAUG